rnacentral:rRNA from 1 species
UACGAAGGGGGCUAGCGUUGUUCGGAAUCACUGGGCGUAAAGGGCGCGUAGGCGGCUUGAUAAGUCGGGGGUGAAAGCCUGUGGCUCAACCACAGAAUUGCCUUCGAUACUGUCGAGCUUGAGACCGGAAGAGGUAAGUGGAACUGCGAGUGUAGAGGUGAAAUUCGUAGAUAUUCGCAAGAACACCAGUGGCGAAGGCGGCUCACUGGCCCGGUACUGACGCUGAGGUGCGAAAGCGUGGGGAGCAACAGG